rnacentral:rRNA from 1 species
GUCUAUGGCCCAAUCCCGGGAGUCUGAUCUCGAGAAGCUAAGCAGGGUCGGGCCCGGUUAGUACUUGGAUGGGAGACCACCUAGGAAGACCAGGUGUUGUAGGCA